CACGUAGGGUGCGAGCGUUGUCCGGAAUUAUUGGGCGUAAAGAGCUCGUAGGCGGUGUGUCGCGUCGGCCGUGAAAACCUGCAGCUUAACUGUGGGCUUGCGGUCGAUACGGGCAGACUAGAGUUCGGCAGGGGAGACUGGAAUUCCUGGUGUAGCGGUGAAUUGCGCAGAUAUCAGGAGGAACACCGGUGGCGAAGGCGGGUCUCUGGGCCGAUACUGACGCUGAGGAGCGAAAGCGUGGGGAGCGAACAGG
rnacentral:rRNA from 1 species